CCGGGAGGCGGUGGGUGCGCAUGAUGGGCUAAGUGGACCGGGAGCAGCGCCUCCGCCCCUUAUAUUCAGGGCAGCCGCCCCGCCCCCGCCCUCCCGGGGAGCUUAAGAGGCUAUGACUCCCCCCUCCCCACGUCGCCCUGGAGGUUGCAGAGGCGCAGAAGGGACCCCCUCCCCUCCUCGAGCGAGCGCGACAUCUGACUGGAAGACCUCGAUGGGAAGGUGUGCCCAGAUGCAGGGACGGGUCUGGGCCUCUGGAUUGCAGGUCUGGGCGCCCUGGCACCCUGCUCCUCUAAACAGGGACUUGUUUUAGGGACACAGCAGGUUGCUCUGCCUCACUGGGCCCCCUUCUUCCCCUUCAUAUGGGGGGCUCAUCAAAAGACGCGUAAGGCUUUGGGGCGAACCUUGGCUCUCAGGUCAGCGGCGUGGGUGUCGCCGCUGUGCGCUUUGUACUCGGAAGCAUCACUGGCCUUAGGUACUCGCUGCAACCCAGGUUUUCCAGGGUCAGCUGCUGCAGACAAAACUUGCUUCUGAUGUGUAUUGGCCUAGAGCCUGGCGAAGGCCUGGGAUUUCUCUGUGACUGGCAAGAGAGACUGGGCUAUUUGGCAAUGCUCAUCCGUCUCUGAACUCAUCCAUCUCAGAACCCUGCAGAAGAACCAAAGAUAGAGGACAUAUACGGGACAUCUAGUAGGUUGAGAGUUUCUUUCCCCUGUAUCAGUUGGAGGUCUUACACCGAGAUCAGAUGGAGCACCUGGGAGGCUGAGGCAGGAGGAUCACUGUGAGUUCGAGACCAGCCUGGGUUGCAAAGUGAGCUCAAGGCCAGCCUGAACUGCAUAGCGAGACCCUGUCUCAAAAAGACGAAAAAAAAAUUUUUUUUUUGCUUUGUCUUUGCUGGUUGCUUAUGAUUACUUGUGAUAACUGCUGGUGAUUUGUCUUUGCCUAUUGUUUAGAAUUGCCUUGUCUCUUGUAUAGUUUUAUUGCAAUAAUGAUAAGUCUAAAUUAAAACACAGCAAGAUUAUAAGGUCAUGCUAUUUCUUUAAAGGGACACUUUAAUCUGAUUUUGUUCUUGCACAUGUGUUUGAAUUGUUACUAACUUUACUGGUACUCCUUACUUUAUUUAGACAAUAUUGCUGGAGAGAGUAAUGUUAGUACACUGUAUGAAGUGUUAUAAGUAGUCCAGAAAUACCUUAACGUGAACAGGGGGCGGUAUAUAGGUUGUACUCAAACACUGCCAUUUUGUGUAAGACUUAAGCAUCUGCAGAGUUUGGUACCUGCAGGGGCUCCUGGAACCCAUCCCCAUGGAUGCUCAAGAAUAGCUAUGUGUCAACCACAUGGAAGCCACAGAGGAAGAGUUAAAUAGCAAUGGUUUUGUACGGUGGAUGAGGACGUCUGCCUCAACCCAUCCCCCCAGUGAUGGCACAGCUCCCAGUACACAGGAACUGAAGUGUUUGCCCGGUGAUGGAACACUCUCGCCCUUCACGAUUUCUACUGAUUCUGCUGUACUUUCCAGGAAAACUCCUAUGAAUCUGGCAACACAAUUUAAAGUCUCCUCUUCUACAAGCCCCUAUUCCCAGUGUCAUGUCUCAUCUCUAGUAUGUAAAUGUCCUUUCCAGACAUCAAGAAGUCACAGGUGGGGCUUUUCAGAGGUGACUGGAUCUAGAGUGUGUGGUGCUGGGAUUAAGCAUGUGAUGCUGGCAACAUGGGUGUGUGAUUACUAAAAGGAGUCCACUGAUGGGUUUGGGGUGGUUCUGGGUAGGAUUAAGGGUGCCUCUUCCUGGGUGUGAGUGCUACCCGGCCUAAAGGUAAGACGCCUAGAUAGAAUAUAAGGGACAGAGAGAGGGCAAGUAUAGUCACUUGAUGCUUGCUGCUUUUGCCUGCUUCUCCUCUGUGAUACCCCCUGCAAUGCCACCCUGCCUUGGAUGCCACCCAGCCAAUGAUGGACUAAAACCUCUACAAACUGUGAGCUGAAACAAAACCUUUUUUCCUUUAAC